rnacentral:lncRNA from 1 species
AAUCCCAAAAACUCGAGAAAACCGAAAAUCCCGAGAAAUAUGAAGGUUGAAACACUCGACUUGUGUUGGUUUGAUUUGGUUUAUAAAUUUAAAAUUCGUGACAAUUAAUUUGGUUUUGUAAUUGGAAAAUAUGAAUCAACCCAUCAUAGGUAUACCCCUAAUAACAACUAUUUCAUGGAGUAUAUGGUAAUUUAGAAAAUAUGAAGUUAUAACUUAUUAUACUGUUAAAUUGCAAUGAUAGUGUAAAACUAUAAUUUUCACACUAUCAGCGUAUAACAUCAAAUCUUUACAAGAAUUGACUAUAUUAGAUAUGGUGUUCGUACAAUAAUUUUGUUUUCGAAUUGUGUAGGAUUUUCUAUGCCUACAUAAAGAAUGGAUAUACAAUACUUGAAGCGUUACGGGUGAAGUAAUGAAACACCUACGGAGUUGUCUAAAGUACUGUUGCUUCCUUAAUUAGAGCAGCAUUUCUAUUUUGCGUGUUUUGUGUUGUAUGGUCUGGGACAAAGAUGAUGUAACUAUCCGUACCCAUACUUGGCUCAAGUAAUUCGUAGUAAUACAUUCCUCAAUCAAAAUGUACCAACUUUGGCGCAUUAAUAAUGCUUCGGCCAACAAUGAUGGUUUCUUGUUUUACUAUUGCGCAGGGAUUGCAUUUAAAGCUCACAAGUGGACAGCUAAAUACAGUCGUACCAACAACAGAGUAAUUUCACAACUUUAAAGUUAAAUAUCUUUUUUUGUGGGGGGUUUGUGACGUUGCCGUAUACUCCAAGUUGGGCCAUUUCGUUAAUAUAAGGAACCUAUAUUAGGAAAAAUCUCACUAUAUAACCGUUGUAAAAAUAAUAGUCGAAAAAAUAUUUAAAAUAUCACCAUUUAAAUUGAUGGGUCGCGACGAAUGCCUUAAUCCUACAUGUCGAACCUACUUCAGCAUGCAUUUAAGAUAUAAGUGUGAAUUGCAUACAUGAGGGAAAUCCAUCCAAAAGACAUACGUACAUAUACAUGUUGAAUGCAAUGGGGAGCCUGUCAAGGCUGCUUUAGACAACUAAAAACUAAAAACUGAAAGCCGACAAGACUACAUACUGUCCAAUUACACACAACUGUCUACAGACCUCUAAUAAAUAUAUUACUAUACCAAGACGUGACUGAGCCACUACUACAAUAAAAAUAACCUUUAAGGAAGGGAAAUCUGGCCCCGAAAAAAUCAAAAUCUGGUCCAAAUAGAGCAAUUGCGACAGGAAAAAGCCGGUCGCCACCCGUCGUAAUAGCUUCUGCUGCUAAAGCUCAAUAUGGACGAGUUCAGAAAUCUUGUUGUUAAAUAUUUUUAGAGAUGGAAGAAAAAUCUAGUCGUUAAAAACCUUUAAAGACUACAUAUCUCGUCCAGUAAACAACUAAUAUAUUGUAAAAAAUAUAUAUUUGUCCGUCGUUAAAAAGUUUUAGAGACCAGCCUUCUCCUCCCUAAUAGACGAUAACUAUAAUAUGAAAAGUAUAUAUUUUUUGGUCGUUAACCAGUUUCAUCGACUAACCUUUAACUGGUCAUAGAUUAUCUUUUAGAGUCGAGCAACACUUGUCCAUAUUUAAUAUAAUAUUAGUAACUAUAUCGACCAUAUUUCUUGUCUCUUAUUAUCCACAAGUAGUCUUAAUGUUUGAUGUCACAAAACAUUAAUUUUUAUCAAUAAAUAUCAAAUUGCUAUGUAAAAAGUUAUUAAUUACAAUGUUAACCUUCCAUUAUGGUAGUUUCAAUAUUUGCUUAACACCUUAACAAAAUAACUUAGUUAACAUUCUGAGCUAGACUAUGAUUUCAUGUUUUGCAUAACAUUCCUAACAAAAUAAUAAUGAGCUUGUGUUUCUUCCAAACUUGUAGCUUCAAUCUUCAAAAACUAUAAAUACAAAAUUUUGAAAAGAUGAUGAAGAACUAUUGGUAAUAUAAUAUAUGUAAAUUUACACUAAAAAUGACUAAACCGCUUACUCGAAAAGUAGUUUAAAUUCAUUAAGUGUUAUCCAACUACAUCAAAAAGGCUACAAGAAUAUACAAAAAAAUUAAUUAGAAAAUAUUGGAACGGUAAAUUAAACUUCAAUUCGAUAAAAAAAGAGGAGAAGGUUUAUUUUAUUAUCCAGCUACUUUAACCAGAACAUGUCAUGUGUUGCGGCAAGUGAAACAAACUGAAUAUUUUCUCCUUCUUCCUUUUUAUUCUGCUAUGUAUGUUUUUUUUUUUGCCUUUUCCAAAGUCAAAGUCUACAUUCUUCAUCGAAUUUGCUGGAAUUCACAAUUUAGGCUCUUUGAGUAACAAGUCACACGUAAAACUUGUAACGAUCCGAUCGGUCGUUUUGAGCUCUAGUUCGAUGUUUAACAGUAUAAGGCCACGACCAACUUAAAUUAAGGUAUUAUGACUUUUACGCAUGGUCAGAAUUGAAUUUUGGGGAGUUCAGAGUUGAGUUUGAAAGAGAAUUCUUAUUUUGGAAGCUUUUAGUUGAAAGAAUUACCCAAGAUUGGAUUUUUGAUUAAACGACCUCGGAAUCAGGAUUUGACAGCAGGUUCGUGUGAUAAUUUCGGACUGGGACAUAUGUCCGGAUCGGGUUUUGGAAAACAUAGGAACGUUUUGGCGCCUAUUGUUGAAGUUAGCCUUUUCGAGAAACUUCAUAAGUUUGGUUGAAGUGCAUUUCGGUGUUAUCAAUAUCUGUUUGGGAUUCUAAGUCUGGGAAUAGCUCUGAAGGGUGGUUCUAGUAUUGGGGGCGCGAUCGUAAGUGAGUUCGGAGGUCCGUGGGCCAUUUAGGUGUCAUUUGGCUAAAGAUAGAUACUAGAGAAGUUUGACCGAAAGUGGGCUUUUUGAUAUCAGUGUAGGAUUUCGAUUCCAGAAAUUAGAGUAGGUCUGCAACGUCAAAUAUGACUUGUGUGCGAAAUUUGAGGUCAACCAGACGUGAUACAAUAGCUUUCGGCAUUGAAUGCAGAAGUUUGAGAUUCUAAAGUUCGUUAAGCUUGGAUUGGAGGUCUAUUUAUGAUUAAAACAUUAUUUGAUAUGAUUUAAGGCUUCGAGCAAGUACAUAAUGUGUUUCAGGAUUGGUUGGGGUACCGAGGGACUCAGGUGGAUUCCUGGUGGUUAACGGAUUAAACUGGAACUUGGAGGAAGAGCUGAAGUUGCUGGUGUAACCGCACCUGCGAGACUAGGGUCGUAGGUGCUGAGCCGCAGAAGCGGCAAAAUGUGCACAGAUGUAGUGGUGAAUUGUGAAGGCUGGGACUGCAGAUGCGGUCGAGUCAUCGCAGAAGCGGGACCGCACCUACGGAAUAAUGGGUGCAGAAGAGGCAUUUGGUCCGCACUUGCGGGACCGUAGAAGCAAUCAAGAGAUCGCAGGUGCGAAAGGGCUGGAGGUAGUGAGCUCUUAUUAAAAAUCGAGGUUUUGGUUUAUUUCCACCAAUUUUCACUUCGGGUUGGACAAUUUUGGAGCGUUUGGAGGAGAGAUUUUCUUUAUCUAUGUCAAGGUAAGUUGUUCCCACUCAUUAGACGUCAAAUACAUAGUUUUGUUUCGGGGAUUUGAGUAUGAAAAUUUGUUUAAACUUGGGGUUAAGGGAAAAUCUAUAAAAUGGUUAUUUUGGAUUUUGACCAUGAUCUUGGGUAUGAAAUUGAGAGUAACUUAUAUAUUUGAGUUCGUGAGGCUAUGGGUAAUCAUAAUCUUCGAAAAAUUUCGAAAUCCGGGUAAGUGGGCCUGAGAGCAAUUUUGUCAACUUUUCCAUCGAGGUUAGAAUUGUUGUAAAUUGGAUUGUAAUGAGUAAUUAAACAUAUAUUAAUUGAUUUGCACAUUAUGGGCUAGUUUUCAGCAUUUUGCAUUGAUUCAAGUCUUCGUAAGGGCGUGGAAUACCAGUUAUGGAUCAUCGGGGCGAGGUGAGUCUCCUUUCUAACCCGAUAAGAGGGAAUUAUCCGCAUAUGUGAAAUAAUUGGUUAUGUGAUCCUUUUUGUGGGGGCUACAUAUGCACGAGGUGAUGUGAGAUCAUGUCUAGCUACUAAUAUGUGUAAGUCUCGGUACUGUAGGACCUAAAAAUAUGCUAUACUUGGAAUAUCUGUAAUUUUCUUUACAGUUGAAUUGCUUAAAUCCAAUCAAAUUGGUAAAUGAAUUUCUAAAGGGAUUAAACUUCAUUUUCUUAUAUCGUUAAAAGAGAAUUGGUUUUCAUUUGGAUAAAUGUACCCCGAUAAAUUAUUAAUGGUUGUUUGAUAAUGCAUUUCUAUGUGUACCCGCGUCGCAUGUACGAUUCGAGAGCAGGGUGAUUGUUUACUUAAAUUUGAUCGCGUCGCACGUAUGUGUAAGGUCCACUGGAAACUACUAAUCAAAAUCUGAAAGCUCGUAGUGCCAACUUAGGAAUAUGUGUUAUAAAUUUGUAAAAUUUCUCGCCGCGGUUUUGACCCUUUGGAUUGAUCUAUGCAUUAAAAAGUCAAGGAAAAGCUUUUUCUAGAAUAGUGUGAUUCAAUCGAGAAUGCGGUUGCAUAACAGCAAUGCAAGCUGAAUAGUCGCUGCAGAGUGCAGCAGUGUGUUGGUCAAUUUGUGGUUAACUAUGCGAUCGCAUAAUCGAUAUGCGGGCCGCAUAAUCCGCUUGGGAUUUUGUAAAGGGCGGAUCGACGGUGCAUUAUGCGAUUCCAGAAUAGUUUGCAGACCGCAUUCUGUCGCAUACCCAAACAGUGUGUUUAGGUUUUGGGAGCAUUUUGCGGUCCAUUCUAUUGUACAAAUAGGAACCAAGUGCACGGACUUGGUCAGCCUAUCCGUACUCACCAAAUAGCAUCGAACUUCUUCAAAGUCCGAGGAAGUCAAACCACAAAAUCCAUAUUGAUUCUCUCCCACUUCUGCUCAGGAAUAACCAUAUGCCGGAGCAAGCCACCCGAUCUUUGAUGCUCAUAUUUCACCUGCAACAAUUGAGUCGCCGAGCUACAAACCCCACAAUGUAUUUCCUCAUUCUCCGCCACCAGUAAUACUACCUAAUAUCUUGAUACGUCUCCGCAGCUCCUGGAUGAAUAGAAUACCGCGAGCUUUGGGACUUCUCUAGAAUCAACUCGCAAAGCUCAUAUACAUUUAGCACACAAAUACGGCCCUAUAUCCUUAACACUCCAUGAAAAUCAUACUAAACUUUGUCCAUAAGGACAAGCAAAUGUGGAUCAUCAUAUUGGUGCUCUUUGAUAUGAUUAUAUAAAGAGGAUCGAGAUAUCACAAAAGCCAAUACCCGCUUGGGCUAAGAAAUAUCCAACCUCACGAACCGAUUUGCUAAGGCUUAAACAUCAACCGCAAGAAGUCUCUCCACAAUUAGAAUACAUGCCAAACUCCCCAUACUCAAUGCCUUUCUACUCAAAGCAUCGGCCACCACAUUGGCCUUUCCCAGAUUGUAAAAUAUAGUGAUAUCAUAAUCCUUAAGCGACUCCAGCCAUCUCUGCUGUCUCAAGUUGAUAUCCUUUUGCUUGAAUAAGUGCUGAAGACUCUGAUGAUCAAUGAAUACCUGACAAGACACACCAUACAAGUAAUGCCUCCAAAUCUUUAACGCAUAAACUAUGGCAGCCAACUCCAAUUCAUGAACGAGGUAGUUCUUCUCAUAGAGCUUCAACUAUCGAGAAGCAUAUGCAAUAACGCUACCCUCUUGCAUUAACAAACAACCAUUCCCUACUCUAGAAGCAUCACAAUACUUUGUGUAUGAACUAGAAGUUGAUGGAAAAACCAACACUGAGCUCUGGUCAAAGCUUUCUUGAGCUUCUGAAAGCUCUCCCCACACUCGUCCGACCAUACAAUUGAAGCACCCUUCUGAGUCAACUAGGUCAAGAGGGAUGUGAUAGACGAGAAUCCCUGAACAAUGCAAUGAUAAUAGCCUGCUAAACAAUGAAAACUACGAAUCUUAGUAGCUAAGGAUGGUCUAUACCAACUCUACACCACCUCUAUCUUCUUUGGAUCAACCUAAAUACCCUCGUUGGACACCAUGUGUCCCAAGAAUGCCACUGACUAGAACCAAAUAUGACAUUUGGAGAAAUUUUGCAUAAUGCUUCUUUCCAUUGUCCGCGAAUAUACCAGUAUAUCAUCAAUGAAAAUUAUAACAAAUAAGUCAAGAUAAGGCCGGAACAUGCUAUUAAUCAAAUGAAUGAACAUUGUUGGGGCAUUGGUCGGUCCAAAAGACAUAACCAUGAACUCAUAAUGACCAAAUCUGGUCUUGAAGGUUGUCUUGAGAAUAUCCGAAUCCUGAUCUUCAUUUGGUGGUAACCUGAAUGGAGAUCAAUCUUUGAGAAUACCCUCUCUCUCUGAAGCUGGUAGAAUAAAUCAUCAACGCGAGGCAAGGGUUACUUAUUCUUAAUUUUUACCUUGUUCAAAAUUGCCUAUAAUCAAUGCACGUUCUCAUUGUGACAUCUUUCUUCUUCAGAACAGAAACUGUGCAUCGCAAGGUGACACACUAGAAGGAUAAACCCCUUAUUUAGGAGUUCAUGAAGUUGUUCCUUUAAAUCGUUUAACCCCAAUGGUGCUAUACGAUACAACGAAAUAGAAAUAGGCUGAGUGUCCGGCACCAGGUCAAUACCAAAAUGAAUAUCCCUGCCCGGUGGCAUGCCUGAGAGGUCUGUAGGAAAUACACCAGGGAAAUCCCUCAUAAUUGGAACAUAAUCAAUAUUGGGAGCCUUAGCUCUAACAUCCCUCACAAAGUCCAGAUACGUGAGACAACCUUUCCCAACUAUACACUGGGAUUUCAAGAAAAAGAUCACUCUGCUAGGAACAUAACCAGUCACACCAUGCCACUUGAUCCGCAGCAAACCCGACAUAGCCAAAGUGACUGCCUUAGCAUGACAGUCUAGAAUAGCACAACAUGGAGAUAACAAAGACAUGCCCAAAAUGAAUCGAAAUGCACCAUACUCAGUAUUAAAAGAUCAACUCGGGUCUCUAAACCACUAAUAGUCACCACAUAUGACUGGCCCACCGGGUAGAUACAUGAACAUGUAAAUCAAGAAUCUUAAGAGAUGUACCCAAAUAAUGAGAAAAGUAUAAAUACACAUAAUAAAGGUGGAUGCGAGAUCAUAUAAUACAAAGGCAUCUCCGCGGUAGACUAAAAUAAUACCUAAAAUGACAGCAUCGAAGGCAAUAACAUCGGACGUUCCCGGGAUAUCAUAGAAAUGGGUCUAACCACCCUCUGAUCGACCUCCCCCUCUAGGGAGACCCCUAGCUAACUGACCUCCACCUUUAGCUGGCUGAGCGGGUGGUGGCGAAGCAAUUGACGCUGAAGCCAAAUGUUGACCCCUAUGUUGGGAUGAUCUAGAAGAACGAUGAGGACAUUGCCUCCACAUGUGGCCCAUCUUUCCGCACUCAUAACAACUCCCGGUGCUGGAGAAGGGGACCAAAGGGAAUCCCUCGCACCGAAGUGACUAGCGAAUUCACCUGGCGUCGAAGAACCCUUAACUGAUAGAGCACUGGAAGAACUCUAAGAUGGAACGACACGAAGUGAUGACUGGCCCUGUUGAGAUCCAUGAUAACCCUUAAUCGAAGAUGCCCCAUGAUAAGUUGGGCGAGCUGACUGAGUAGAACAGAAUGAAUAGCCUCUACCAUGCUGUAACGGGCCCCUCAAAGAAGCACCACCAUAACUGCCUGAAUCUCGAGACAUUUUAGCCUCUCUCUCCUUUCCCUCCUCUCAGCAAACCGACUCAAUCUCUCGAGCAAUAUCAACCACCUUCUCAAAUGAAGCACCAGAUAACCUCUCUCGGGUCAUAAGAAUAAGGAGUUAGUAAGUAAGACCAUCAACAAAUCUCUUGGGCACCUAGAUUCUACCAAACCUCUCAAGUCGACGAUUCUCAUCAUCCGAGAUAACCGGUAUUACAAACUCCUGAUCUGGUUUAACCGGCUGCACUAGAGGUGCCCUGGCAUCUAAAUUCCUUACUCAACCUGAUCAGGUGUGCGAUCAACGGGGUCUAAAUCCGUCCCCCGGUCAAUGAAGUAGCUACGACUGUAGCUGUUGAAACCUCCUGACGGAAACUAGUGCACAAUGAUAAGAUCUUAGCUAAAGCCUCAUGAAUGUCUAGAAUCACAAUAGACACAGCUGGUGCCUGAAAUAGUGCUGUUGGAGAAUCCAUAGCAGGAGCCUGAUCUUGACUUUGGGUAGCCGAUGGAUCUACAGAUGCUGCCUUUGCUGCUCUACUUCUACAUAACCACGAUCGCGUCCACGACCUUUUGUAGCCUCAACUGGUGGCAUUGGUGGUUGUCCAUCAUGUCCGGUAGAUCUUGUAUUGACCCUAACCAGGAACCUGGUCGUGAUCGUUCCUCUCAUUAAGACAAGACCAGCCGCUCUAACACAAUUCAACCUUUUAAGUAGUUAAUCAUAUAAAGAUUCUUUAAACAUGAUUUAAUAGCAAUAUUUAGCAAAACAAAUAGAAACCCAAUCUGACACAGCCCUAACUGGGGUCUCACAAGUCACGAGCAACUAAGGAUCUUGAUAUGAUUCUACUAACAACAAUUUCUAGUAGAACUUUUUGAAUAACAUAGAAAUAACAAGAUAAGGUAGACACGAGGGCUGUGGACGCCAACAGUUAUAUCGUAGUCAGCAAAACAUUGCCUCGACUGGAAGGAUCAACACUCAGAAGUUUGACUUGCACAUAUGGUGCAGGAAGUAAUGUGAGUACUCCAACCCAGUGAGUCAUAAAUAUAAAUAAUUGCUGAAAGUAAAACACAAGGCAUUCUAUACUGAUGCAGUAAAAUCACUUAAAAUUAGUAAAUUAGUGAAGAAACAAGUAAAACCCUUUUUCAGAAGAUAAAACAAGUAAUAAACAGGUAUAUAAUAAAUAAAAGUUCACCCCUCGGGCAUAGUAUCAACAAAACCGCCCCUCGGGAAACGUCUCAAAAUAGUACCACCCUCUUGGGCUCAAAUCUCAGAACAAUGUCAGCCCCUCGGUCUCAAUAUAACAUCACAAUAUGUACGUGCAUUUACUAGGGAUGUACAGACUGUGGAAGGGGCCCCUUACAGCCCGAGCGCUAUCUCAAGCCAGCUCAUGACAUUAAAUCUAGGUUCUCGGCCUCAUAUCAAUGAAGACAACUCGUGGUGUAUAUGUAACACAAGCCCUCGGCCUUAGUUUUAAAAUCAUCACAAGCCCCUCAGGCAUUUUGAAUAACAGUAUUUCUCAGCCCAAAAUAUCAUUUAAAAUACAAUUUAAGUCUUAAAACUUAGUAAAAAUGGAUGAGUAGUAAAACAGUGGAAAAUAACAUGAUUGAGUUCAAGUAAUAAGUCCAAAACAGUGAGGAAAUAGUGAUAAAAAAUCCCUAACGGGUUCAAAUAGUUGGCACGUAGCCCAAACAUGGCAAUCAGCCCAUAUCAUAAUAAUAAUAAUGAAUAAGCUCCUGCUAAAUACGCAAUAAAAUCAUCAAACGGGAUGGACCAAGUCACAAUCUCCAAGUAUGUGCGAUCCCACGCUCGCCAUCAAGCGUGUGUCUCACCUCAAUGUAGCACUACGAUAUGCAAUCUGGGGUUUCAAACUCACCUCGAACUGGAUAAAUCUCUAGCUCGCGAUGCCUUCGCCCCUCGAAACGGCUUCCAUGCAUGUCGAGUCUAACCAAAAUCAUAAACUAAUACAUCACAAUAUGUUGAUUGAAUAAAGCCCAUGCGAAAACAAUCAAAAAAUACAAAAAAUCCCAAAAUUUGCAAAACUCGAGCCCUGCAGCCACUUCUCAAAACACAAAAAAUUUCACAUCAUUAGAUUCCUAAUCACCCCACGAGCUCAUACAUAUAAACUUUUCUCAAAUCUGACCUCAAAUGGUUCUUGAAAUCCCAAUUCAAAAGUCCAAAUCCCAAGCCCUAGUUCUUCUAUUUUUGGCUUAAGUUCCAUAAUUUUCUCGGUAGAUUUCACAAUAGAAUCGAGUUUUAGGUCCGAAAUUCUUACCUCCAAACAUUUCUCCUUGAAUCCCUCUUUAAUCGCCUUCAAAACGCUCUCAACAUGAUCAACUAUGGAGGGAAUGAGCCCCAAAAAUUGCGAUACAAUAACUUAAAACAUUCUGCCUAGUCCUGUUUUUCGUUAAUCGCGAUCGCGGCGAUAACCUCAUUACCGCAAAAGCCAGAUCUUCAAGACCCUAAUUAUAAAAUACACGAACACAAAAAAUACCCUACUUACGUGGUUCUCCCGCCUCACACAUUCACAAACGCAAACUCACUUAUGUGAACACGAUGAACAAAAGACCCUGGGUCCCUCAGACAAAAUUACUAUAUGUGAUCGCAAGUGCUCUCAUGCUAAUGCGACGCACUGAACCCCAGCCUUCCUUGAUCGCGAAGCCUCUCAUGCGAACACGAAGGCUUAAAUCUGGACUUCCUCAAUUCCAUCUAUGCAAUCGUGAUACAUCCCACGGGAUCACGAAGGGAAAAUUUCUCUACAACAGUUGAACUCAGAAUAUGUAACUUUCAAACUCUAAAAAUGGUCUGAUUGACCACCUGAAACUCACACGAGGCCCCCGGUGACUAAAACAAAAGCACCAACAUAUCCUAGUAUGUUAUUCAAAACUGUUACAAUCUUCAAAACACCUCAAACUACAUCAAAUUCAUCAAUUCACAUCAAAUUCAAGCCUAAGUUUUUCUAAAAUUUUGCGAAAUACACUUUUGAUCAAAAACCCAACCAAACCAUGUCUGAAUGACCUGAAAUUUUGCAUACACAUCCCAAAUGGCAAAUGGAAGCUACUGUAAGUCUCGGGAUUCCAUUCUGACCCUUACAUCAAAAUCUCACCUAUUAACCGGAAAUUGCCAAAAUAUCAACUUCACCAAUUCAAGCGUAAUUUCACUCUGGACCUCCAAAACCAAUUCCAAUCAUACUCCUAAGCCAUAAAUAACCUUCCAAAGCUAAUUGAACCAUCAUAACUCACAUCCGAGCUUUUUAAGACAUAAGUGAAUAUCCGGUUGACUCUUUCAACUUAAACCUUCUUAAUAGAGACUACUUGACCAGUUAUGUUCUAUAACUGUCUUGGAAUUUUAUUCCAUCCUCCAACCUAUUACUUGGUAUUUUAAAUCCCUAUUCUUAGCCAGCUGAAAGCCAAGGAUACCUAGGUUAUUUUUUGGAAUCUCUAGUGUGAGCACUGCUAGGGGUACAUUUGAGGUCUUUGUAAACUUUGACACACUAAGAGUUUGACGUUAGUCAUUACCGUAACCCCCAAGCACUCCCUAUUUCUCUACUUCACUAUCAUGUGUUGUGUUUUUUUCUGGUUCUCCCAAGUGAUGAAAUACUUGGUGAUGUGGUUCAUCAGAAGGGGUCUGAACUCCCCUAUGGACCUGCGAUCCUGUGAUAUGCUAUAUUGAAGGCCCUAUAAGGCAUGAUAUUAAGUUGUUUUACUUGGGCUUGCUAUAGGCAUGUCCAUUACGAUGGAAUAUUACUAUUUUCACUUAUUCAUUUGGGUUGAUAAUAAUACCUUUGUAUAAACGAUAGGGGUGCUGCUAAAAGGGGAUGCGGUAAAUUAUAAUAUUUAACAUGUGAUGGUAGAUAACAUAAGUAUAGUAUUGAGUGAUGCACUUGAUUUUCUGUUACUCAUUCUCUAUGCACACUGUAGAAAGCAUGCCAUUAGGAAAAACACACUUGCAUUACUUGUUUAUUAGAAAAAAAUGAGCUCAAAUACCACAAUAUCUUUGUUGUUAUAUGUUAUUAGAGAACCUGCUCGUAGGAAAUAAAUAUCCCGAAAUUUGAAUUAUUGUAGUAUGUGCAUUAGAGAUCAUGACUAUAGGAAUCUACUCCUUUUAUCUUUCAUUGCAUCACAUUAUCCACCUAGAAACCUGCCUAUAAGUUUUAAUAACAAAAUCAGGUCACAAAUGUUAAUUGUUAGAAAUCCUGCAUAUAGGAUGCCAAUAUUAGCUUUGAUAACUCCUAAUGACACCUCUUUUAACAUUGUUCAUCAUUCACCUAGGCGGUUAUCAAAAGCAUUUGUAAUUCUGAGACUCUACUCUAGUUAUCAUAAAUCAACUAGGUGCAACUACCGCAUGACUAAUAAUUGGGAAGUUGCCAUCUCAAUAACCAGUGUGUAUCAAUCUAUGCAAUUGUGUCAAUGAAUAAUGUUUGUUCCUCAAACUGCUUGCAUUCCUUGAUGCCUAUCACGUAGAAAUCAUGCUUAUAGGAAAUUAAAUUCCUUAACCUUGAAUUGCCUAACCUGAAGAUCUGUUUGUGCGCAUUUGCUGUUUAAUUGUGGAGGUUAAUUUGAGCCUUUGACAAUAGUCAUACCUUAAGUCUAAUGUGUUUUUUUGUAUGUCGCCUAGUUUUGACAUUUUUUAGCAACCUAACUUAAGUCUAGAUCCACCAAAAGUAGAGGUUCAAUGCCUCAUGUACCAUAGGCACGUGAAGGGUAUCACACACAUAAGGUAUGAUUUAUAAUUGAACUAGUGCACUUUAGGUAACAACUUGAAGAUAGUAAUCAGCUAGUAGGAGAUGAUAGUUUUGCCGCUGAUUAAUAUGAGUAGCACCCACUCAUAGAGAGUUACAAAGUAUUAUUUAUGUUGCGGAAGGUGAUCCUUUGGGCUAAAAAAAUUUAGCACUCCCCCCCAUCUUAUUCCUACUUAUCUGUGUGACACGAAUUUGUAUCUAUUGAUCAUAAAACAUUCCUAAUUUCUCGCUUUCAUUCUCACUGUUAUCGAACUAAUUCAUAUACUUCAAGUUAGGCCAAGACCCACAAUUGUGGACCUAGAAGAGUGACUAACACUUCUUAUUCGAUGUAAUUUUGAGCCCUUACUCAAUCACCAGUGAUGCAAACUAGUCAAACCGAAGUUAUUUGCAAAGAAGCGCCCUAACGCACCAUAAAAAUAGUUAGGUGGUGACCCUUCUCUUUUAAUACUGUCAAGAUCAAAGUUUUCCCUCCACUGUCAUGACGGAACCUAGUCUCUAUGACUUGGUAAGUCUACCAAUUAGUGGAAAAGAAUUAGAAGGUACGAAACUAGCAAAUUACGAGUAAUAUAAUAAAGAUGGUUUUGAAGAUGCUUGGCAUAUACAAUAACUCUUUCUCAGACUUAACAAAAAUACUCCCUAAACCGAGUAUCUCUUGAAGCACAAGCUAAAGAAAAUACAUAGUGUUCUAACUCCAAAGGUCUAGACAAAAGGAAAAUACAAGAAGUCUAUUGCUAAAGGGAGAAUAGAGAGGGAUUUCUAGGUCUGCAGAUGCGAUAAAUAUAUCUCAAGGUCUCUGAAAUCACCUCGGCUCACUGACAGUAUGGUUGCGCAGAGAAACCUGGUUCUGCACACAAAAAAUGUGCGCAAGAGAGGACAUGAGUGCACCACAGCAGUACCCAGUAAGUGCUAAGCCUUACCUUGGUCGAGUAGUGAUGAGGAAGGUCAGGGCCCUAUUAUUUAUAUAAAUACAUAGUAAGUUAAAAUAGUAUAGAACAUGAUGGUUAAAACCGAUAAGGCAUGAAUUUCUACUCUAAACAUGCCAUACAGAAUUCAAGUAAGCAGAUAAAGUAGAUAAGGCUGUUAAGUCAUGUAAUCAUGUUUUUCUAAGCUAAACAGGAAACUUCAAGUUCAGGUAUUACUCAAUUAAAAUAGAACACAAAUAAUUACCUAAUAAAAUGGGGUUUAUCAACAUUUAGAAUGUGCAUUCACUCGUCACCUAACGUAAAUGACAUUCAUAUAACAACAGUAACAAAAUCAUAAGUUGUGUUCCCCAUACAAGGUUAGACAAGCCAUCUGUCACACCUCAUUUUUUACCACUCAAGGGCAGAUAUAAGGGAGUUUUGUCAAUUUGACUUUAUUUUAAAUCAGAUUAUUUAUUCAUUUUCAUAGUCGCUAUUUGGAAUAUUUUAAUUGGUGGCCCAAGUCACCAGUUUUUUUUCAAUCCCAAAUCGAGGAAAUUCAACUUUCCCUUUUGAAGUCUACGAACCAGAAAUUUUGAAUAAGGAACUCUGUUAACCCGGAAGAAGGUGUUAGGCAUUCCCGGAUUCUGUGGUUCUACCACGGUCGCUUAAACUAUUAUAAUUGACGUAUUAUCUGAUUUUAAUACAUGUUUUAAACCCAUGGUUCAUUUUUAGUUUAUUAACCACUUGAAAUUAUUUUAGGAAGAUUCAACGUUUUCUAACACACGCCUUGAACCACGCCACAUGAAAUGCACCCACGGUCCAUGAUAUAUCUUAUUUAAGGUUGUUGCGAAUUUGAGUUGGGUCUCAUGAAAUGCACACCCGAAUUUGGAUAAAUAAAGAAAAUUAAUUUAAAAUAGAAAACCUAAAGCAACUAUGAAAUUUCAAUUUUAGAAAAAGAUUUGCAAGGGCCAUAAAAAAUUCAAUUGAUGGCAUACCUCGAUAUAAAUAGAACGUAUCAAUUACCUGAGGGCUAUCGAUUAUCUAAUUUACUUAUGGCAUACCUCGAGUAUAAAAGGGAUUAAGCAUUCUUAGAGGAAAUCUAAACUAAUUAUCAAGCGCCCAAAGAAUCUACCGUUAUACAAAUAAUAUUAAUUUAGUAAUUCAUAUGAGAGCCAUGGGUGAUAUGGUGAAAAUGGCACACCUUAAUUUAACCAAAAGAAAUACUUCAACCUAAUAUUUUAAACAUAUUUACAUGACUACUGAAAUUGCGCAUAGGCCGUCAUGCGUUUGAGUAAAACCUGCCAGGGGCAAAAAUUUAGCAGCAGAUAUUAAAUGAGCUGCAGGGCUUGAGAAGCACGUUUAAGCUGCAUGUGGUAAAGCUGUUCUUAUUCACAAACGACCUUAAGUCCAGGCUCAAACUACAUCUCAUCCCCAUGACAAAGAAAUGAAAACUAAACAAUAUGGCAACACUCAAAACUUUAAAGAGACCAUUUGAACACACUGAUUAACUGUCAUGCCCCGAAUCUAGGGCUGGGAUCGGCAACUGGAGGCUUACCUAAACAUGCGUACCAACUUGAGAAUAAAGGACUCUUACCAUAUAAUGUCAUACAUUGGCCAUGGGCCACAUUGCAAGAAAAAUAUAAAACUGAUCGAAAACUAAUGCAAACUAGAAAUCAAUAUAAAGCUGGACUGAUAAGGUCAUCAUAACUACUACGGCUGACAAACCAACAAAUUAUACAUAUAAGGCCUACAAGCCGAACAUACUGGACUAACUGAUUUGGUAUGUCUACUAGCCUCUACUGAUGGUUGUACUGUGAUUAGAACAAGGCCCCGACCUACCCAUAACACACAUAUAUAUAUAUACACACAUAUAUAUAUAUACAUAUAUAUAUAUACAUACAUAUAUAUACAUAUAUAUAUAUAUACAUAUAUAUACAUAUAUAUAUACAUAUAUACAUAUAUAUACAUAUAUAUACAUAUACACAUAUAUACAUAUAUAUACAUAUACACAUAUAUACAUAUAUAUAUACACACAUAUAUACAUAUAUACACACACACACACACACACACACACACACACACACACACACACACACACACACACAUAUAUAUAUAUAUAUAUAUAUAUAUAUAUAUAUAUAUAUAGAUGUACUCAAAACUCUAGACCCGGCAAUUCUGAAGGAUGUGGAGCUUACCGAUCAGGCUAAAUAUGGGCCACACCUACUGAGGAGGUCUACCUCUGUCUGUUUAAACCUGCAUGCACGAAAGGCAGCGCCCCCAGAAAAGGGACGUUAGUACGAAAUAAUGUUCCGAGUAUGUAAGGCAAUAAAAUGAUCGAAAGCUGAAGCUGAACUGAUAACAUAAUAAGGUGAAGAUAAAUGGGAGUCAAAGAUGAUCUGGAGAUAUACUUACCUGCUGAAAGUGAGUCCACUCUCUCAAUAUAGUAAGGAAUACAAAUGUCCGUCCCUAUAAGGCUCGGAACGUGUAACUGCUCUACCAUAGUAGGCUCGCUCAUAGGCGCUCGACCAUACUAGGCUUUGUAUCUCAGCCAUUCUGGGCUCUCUCAUAGGUGCUCGACCAUAAUAGGCUCUGUAUAUAACUUACCAUCUGAUCAAAGAUUUCCCAAUAGGGGCCUGCCCAUCGAUUAUUUCUCAAUGAUGGUGAAAAUAUUAUAAUAUUGUAUAUAUAGAGACCCUCUACUCUCUUGACUAGAAGAAGAAAAUACCAAAAUGAAUAUAAAGCCCUGAUAGGGAAGAAUAGUGUAACUUAUGAGACGAGGAUAAUGUAUAUAAAUAUGAGGGCAUGAACUUCUCGUUAUGCCUCAUCAUAAACACAUGUAAUUACGAGAUCAUACAAAAAUGAAGAAAGGGCUUAGCAUUAACCUACCUUAUCACAAACCACCUGGAAAUGUUACGACAAACGACCAGCCCACCACCCUAACUCUAUAUGGUGUUUCUCCACAUCCUUCCUCCCCAAAAACUCCACAAAACAGUAGUAGAAAAUGCAGCCCUGCAGAAACACAAAAUAAUCCACAAAACUGUCUGUUACAAGUGAAUAACACGAACUCGCAGCUUUCGAUCACCGUCCCGUGAGUUCUUACAAGUAUAGAACGACUUACCAUGAAUUUACAGAAUAAAAAAUGGAUGAAAUAGAUCAGUAAAAAUAUCUUUGUUGGAUAACUCAACCUUUAUCUCUGUUCGUUAAACUCUAGGUUUUACCCCCAAUUAGAACUUGAAAGGGAGAGAUAUUCAAUUACGAUUUGUGGGUGAUUUUUGGUAGGAAGUUUGCACAUUUUUAGGUCUGUUUAUUUGUAACAUAUACUUAAGUUUUUAUUGCAAGAGAUAAACCCUACUUAUCACCUAGCAGCCUACGCAAUCUUGCAAAACUGCAUAUAUCUCUCUACUCUGAUGUCGCAUUGAUAAAUAGUUGAAUGAAUUAGAAAAUAUAGUCAUUGAGAAUAGUCUAUAAUUACAUAUUUUUAGUCGCUUAUUACACUUAAAUUUAGUGUAUUUUAAUGAAUUUGAGCUUUAAUCACUAGUUUUUUGCACUAGUGGUGUGUUUUAUGCCAUGUAGAAGUGAUUUCGCGCUAUGUAGAUGUUAUGAAAUGAAUUCAAGUGAUUUGGAGGUUUAACGUUUCAAUAAAAGUUCAAGGAAGUAAGCCAGAAUCGUCUUUGGGGGUCAAUGGAUGAUAGUUAGAGCGAACAAAGAAACCAGUAGGCAUAUUGCACACUAUCUAGUAAAAUAGAUAUACCUUUUUUCUCAGAACUCUAUUUGGGCUUCACAAUAGAUGGUUAGAAAUGUUACGUAAUGGGCUACAACUUUCAUGUUUUACGUUUUGCCAAAUUUUAAAAGGGACAGGGUGAAAAUGCGCUCCCAGGUGCGUGCCCAUGAUACUUUUAGCGCGCCCGCCACAGAAUGUUGUCCAACUAGCGCGCCUAGAUGCGCCAGGUAUGCGACCGCGCUAGUCCAACUUGGGAAAAGUGUCCUUUUUGCCUUAGAGAAGGUAUAAUUGUUUGGGCUUACCCCUACUUGGUAUAUAUACAUAGAAAAAUGGUAUUUUGAGGGAGGAGGACGUUUUUGAGAGGAAAACACAAGCACAGAGCCGCCGUGGAUUAUAGAGUUGGAAUCGAAAGUGGGAAUUAUAGAUUGCAUAUAGGAUUGAGUAGAUAAUUUUCUUGAAAUUGGACAUCGGGGAACGAAUUUGCGGUUAGGAUAGAGAUAUACCUAAUUGCCUUGCUUGGUUGAUUUACAUGAAGUAUAAAUGCGUUCUUGUUGAUUCCAUCUCGAUAGAUAUAUAGGGAUUAGGUUAGCUUGAAUAGGCAAGUAAGACGCCGAUAGAUUCUUAUAAGCAAUAUUAACCCUGACAACCAAUAAACUAGAUAGAUUAGUUAGUCAACUCAAUUGAAGAAUACAAUGGGAAUGUUUGAUAGCUUAUAACCCUAAAUAGUUUUCAUUACAUUGAUAUCAUAAAAAUCUGCUCUUUCUCAGCCCAAAGUUCAUUCUUUUUUUACUUUUUUUAAGUAGUUUAGAAUCAAAUACUUGUAGGCUUAAUUCUUGUAUAGAUAAUUAGGAUAGUCCAAUUUAGUUAAUAGUAAUCACAAAUCCUCGUGGGAUCGACAUCCGACAUUUAGUCACUUUAUUACUCGACGACCGCAUGUAUUUUUGUGUGCAUUUUUGUCGCAACAAGUAUUGGCGAAGUUGCCGGGAACAUAGAAAUUAACUAUUCUACUAGAUUAGAUUCUAAUUUUUGCCAAUUCAACUUUUUUAUUUUAUUAAAUCUUAGUUUAAUAUUUUAUUAUCUAUGUUGACAUGGCAUCUUGGAAUGAGAAUUGGUUGAAUAUUGGUAAUUCUUAUUAUGAUAAAUCCUUGUCCAUACUGUGGAGGAACUCACUGGUGAAAAAAUUAUCAGAAUGUUCCCGGGAGAAAGUUGUGCGCACAAUCUCAAUCCUUUGAGUGGAAUAUUUGUAAUAUAUGUGGUGGUCAAGAUUGCAAUUUUGUCCUAAUUAUAUAUAUCCUACUCAGAGUUCUUACUAUAAUAUUUCUAAUAAUGUCUAUGAGUUUGAUAGGAGCACGGAAGUGGAGGAUAUGGAAAUCAUGGCUCAUAUUAUGGACAUGAUGAGGCAAGUAGUCGAAUAACAAGAUGAAAUUCGAAAGGAUGCACAAAGAAUUAAUGCAGUAAUCAUGAGAACAAAGGCCGAGGAGGAGGAAGUGGUUGAACAGAGCGAGUUUCCAGCAAAAAAUAAUUUUGAAAAAGGAGAUAUAAUGAGCCAAUCUUGGCUAGAGGAACAAGCUCAACUUAUAAAAUCUCAUGAAUUUCUAUGGGAUGGUCUUUCAGAUAUGACAGAACAACUGAUAGAAGGAAGAACUGAGCUCAGGCAAGAGAUAGACCAAUUUGGCUUAGAUAUCUAUGACCUCCAUGAUCAAUAGAAUAAAACGGUUGAGGCCUCUUAUGUCCUAUAACCAAUUGUGUGGAUACUGGCAAGCUUGAGGAGUGGAAAGAGGAAUUCCAACUAUUCGACCAAAAUAUUAUUAAUGAUGCCAAGGUCGAAGAGCUCAAAAUUGAGGAUGUCAAAAAUAAUGCAUUUUUUUUUUGAGUUAGAGCGUAUUGGACGUCAUUCUAAAUACUUUUCAACAUUGCGUUUGGUUGGUGACAUGGAAAUUGACCUAUUGAGCAUAUGGAGGAUUCAAUAGAUGAGUAACGAAGUGUUUAUAUUCUGAAUUUUGCCACACCAAGGAGACAAAACGGCAUUCCUCACUUAAAGGCUAAGAAGUGCAAGAUGCGAUACCAAUUGCUUGGUUUCUUUAUUUUUACACCGCCGCCCCAGGAACGUAAUAUAAACGAUGAUGAAAACUUAGGUGCACAAUUUAUAUCCUCAAAGUGGAAGAAAAAGUAAUGAAAGUGUUGGCGUCGUGCCGCGACGUUAAAUCAAGCGCUUGUUGGGAGGACACCCAAUUUUUUUAUUGUGUUUAAUUUUCCUUUAUUAUGUUAUUUUUCGUAGUGUUGUUUUUGUGUUUUGUAGGAGUGGAAGCAUGGAGUCAGAACCAAUAGGCAUGUCUAAAAGCGAGAAGCUUGUUGAAACUAAUUGUGAGAUACCCGCACAAGGGAUCAUACCAGGGAGAAGUCUGAUUAUCCCGUGAGCUGCUAAUUCUUCGUCCUUUGCCUACCAGGGGGUUUCUUUUACCCUCUUGUUAUGUUCAGUGUGCAUUGAGGACAGCUUUCUUGAGGGAUUGUCUGGGGUGUGGAGAUUGUCUGGGGGAUUUUCUGUGCUAUCUUAGUUAUGUUGUAGUGGUUUUUUUUAAAAAAAUGAAAAAUUUGGACUUUUCUCGACGAUUGAUUUUGAGGACAGCUUUCCUGAGGGAUAGGUCCAAUAAAAAAAUUUAAAAGAGGGUAAAAAAUAGAAAAAAAUAUCCAAAAAUGCGUCUUUUAUUUUUUUAGACAGCAAUAAUCCCCCAUGGUUUUUCUUUGUGCAACUGUUCUUUUCCAUGGGAUGUAGUUUGAACCGCAUAUUAGUAUUUUUUUUUCUUUUAGAGUAGAUUAGAAUUUAGGGAAUAAAAUAAGGAAGAAUGAUAAACCUAGGUGUCAUUGACUUGUUUGAUAGUAGCAUAUUUAGGCUUUGGCAUGUGUAGUAUCUUCCCUAUGAUUUGAAAUUAUUGAUGAUUCCUUAUAUAUUGGAUAGCAUAUUGGAUAGCAUAUUUUGCGAUGCAUGUGUCUCAUUUUCUUGACUUAUAUUCACUUUGUACUUAAUGCUUAAUAUCUCGUGACUCCGUGAAUACUUGCACAUGUUUGAGAGUCGAAAUGAAACUGUUCUUAGUGAGUCAUGUGCCAUGUGUGGUGAGGUUUUUUUAUAGUCUAUGUACUGUACUUAUGUCUACAACUUCCCCGGUAUGUGAGUUGAAGUGAAAUUUUAGGUGAUGUUCGGUAUGAAAAAUGCUUUUAGGCUUUCUUUGAUCUUUUUUGAGCUUUAUUACUUAUCACAAAUAAAAUCUAUCCCUAAUCAACCCUUUUGAAUCUAUAUACUUUUAUUUGGCACCCACAUUACAAGCAUAUACCCUUUUAAUUCUUAAUUGAUAUUGUUUUGAUCGCUUUUCCUCUUAAAGCACUUUAAUUAUGAGUUGAACGCUAAAAGAAGUAAGAAGGAACUAAGUGAGGGGUGGGUUUUGAGUGGAACCAAUAAAAGGAAGAAAGGUGCACUUAUUUUGUAAAAUAUUACACCACUAGCGGAAAUUGAAAAGAAAAAGAAGAAUAAACAGGAAAAAAAAGGAUGAAUAUAUUGUUUUUCCGGCUAGUGGGUGUGAAUUAAUAUAGUGUAUUAAGAAUAAGGGAACAAUUUUGGGGUGAUAUUGUGUGUGAAAGUGAUAUUUAGACAAGAGGGGUUGCUCGGAUGGUAAGCAACCGCCACUUCCAACCGAGAGGUUGUGAGUUCGAGUCUCCCCAAGAGCAUGGUGGGGCGUUCUUGGAGGGAAGGAUGCCGGGGGUCUAUUUGGAAACAGCCUCUCUACCCAAGGGUAGGGGUAAGGUCUGCAUACAUACUACCCUCUCCAGACCCCACUAAGUGGGAUUAAACUGGGUUGUUGUUAUUGUGUGUGAAAGUGAAGUGCAUUGAAGAAUUUGCGUUUAAAGUUGAUUAUGUGGUAUGUUAAGGUGCUUAUGAGGGUUAGUCACUAAUCCUAAAUAUAUCCUACACGUCCCUUAGCCCACAUUACAACCAUAAAAUAAUCCUAAUUUAUUUUAGAUCGAGCGAGCCUACAUUAUAGAGAUUUACAUUAAGGGAAAGCCUAUGGUACCAAGUGCAUGCAUGUGACUUCUUUUGUGUGUGAGAGAGAGAGUUCUUUGAUAUAUAUAUAUAUAUAUAUAUAUAUAUAUGUGUGUGUGUGUGUGUGUGUGUGUGUGUGUGUGUGUGUGUGUGUGUGUUUGAUUUUGAGAUUUGAUUGUGUGGGUUCAACAUAUUCUUUUGUUCUUAUUGUGAGGGCACAUGACUUCAUGAGGGAUAGGUAAUGUUAUUAGACUUCUCUACGACUUUGGGUAUUCAAGCCAUAAGUGCAUCAUGACAUUGAGUCGGGUUUUGAGGCUAGGAUUGUUGUGAGCAUGUUGUCUUUGUUGUAAAUAAUUUCUAAGAAUAAUUUGAGUAAAAGGGAAUUGUUGCAUAUGUUUGUGUUUAAUUGUUGCUAUCAAUCAUGGUCAUUGGUGUAGUGUGCCCCAAAAGUGUUAAGAUGUUAAGUGCUCAAAGACAGAGUAAAGUAUUGGUUGACUCGAGGACGAGCAACGUUUGAGAACGGGGUAGUGAUGAUGGGCUAUAAUUACUUAUUUUAGUCGCUUAUAACACUUUAAUUUAUAGUACUUUAAUUGAGUUUGAGCUUUAAUCGCUAAUGUUUUACACUAAUGGUAUGUUUUAUGCCUUGUACGAGUGAUUCCGAGCUAUGUAGAUGUAAUGAAAUAAAUUCAAGUGAUUUGGAGCUUUAAAUUUUGAGUAAAAGUUCAAGGAAGUAAGCCAGGAUCGUGUUUGGGGGUCAACGGAUGAUAGUUAGAGCGAACGAAGAAUCCAGUGGGCAUAUUGUGCACUCUCUAGUAAAAUAGAUAUAACCUUUUACUCAGAACUCCAUUUGGGCUCAAAAAUAUAUGGUUGGAAAGCUAACGCAAAGGAAUACAACUUUCACGUUUUAUAUUUUUCCAAAUUCAAAAUGGAACAGGAUGAAAAAUUCCCGCCCAAAUGCACGCCCGCGCUACUUUUAGCGCGCCCAACACAGAACAUUGUCAAAUAAGCGCUCCCAGAUGUGCACCCAGGUGCAAGACCACGCUAGUCCAACCAGGGAAAAGUGUCCUUUUUCACCUUGUGAAGGAAUAAUUGUUUAGUCCCAACCUUACUUGGUAUAUAUACAUAGAAAAGUGGUAUUUAAUGGGAGGACGACGUUUUUGAGAGGAAAACACAAACACAGAGCCUUCGUGGAGGCCGGGUUUCAUCUUUUCUUCCUCAAAACUUAGCAAUUUUUAUGUUUGUUUGUAUGAUUUGUUGUUUUUAUUCCAUAUCUAAAUAGAGUUAAACUUGGCGUUAUAGGGUUGUGGUUGUUUCAUGACUAUUGUUAUUCGGAUAUUUAUUUUGAUUUCUUAGUUUACAAUAUUGGUUUAAUUAUUAGAUCUUGCACUUAUUAUUUGAUUGCUUGAUCACCAAUUGAAUACAUUCUACGAAUCUAGAGUUGGAAUCGAAAGUGGGAAUUAUAGGUUGCAUAUAGGAUUGAGUAGAUAAUUUUCUUGAACUUGGGCAUCGGGGAACGAAUUUGCAGUUAGGAUAGACAUAUACCUAAUUGCCUUGCUUGGUUGAUUUACAUGAAGUAUAAAUGCGUUCUUGUUGAUUCCAUCUCGAUAGAUAUAUAGGGAUUAGGUUAGCUUGAAUAGGCAAGUAAGACGCCGAUAGAUUCUUAUAAGCAAUAUUAACCCUGACAACCAACUCCAUAGAUAUAUAGGUGUUAGGUUAGCUUGAAUAGGCGAGUAAGAAGUCGAUAGAUUCUUAUGAGCAAUAUUAACCCUGACAACCAAUAAACUAGAUAAAUUAGUUAGUCAACUCAAUUGAAGAAUACAAUGGGAAUGUAUAGCUUAUAACCCUAAAUAGUUUUCAUUAUAUUGAUAUCAUAAAAAUCAGCUCUUUCUCAGCCCAAAGUUCAUUAUUUUUUUAUUUUUUUUAAUUAGUUUAGAAUCAAAUACUUCUAGGCUUAAUUCUUGUAUAGAUAAUUAGUAUAGUCUAAUUUAGUUAAUAGUAAUCAUAAAUCCUCGUGGGAUCGACGUCCGACUUUUAGUCACUUUAUUACUUGACGACUGCAUAUACUUGCGUGUGCAUUUUGGCCGCAACACUCAUAGAGCUUCAAUUUUAUGGGUUGAACACCCCAUAACUCUAAGUAUAUUUGGAGUAAAUUUCAGUCACAUUUGGCCCAAAGUUUCAGUAAAACUUAUGAAUGUAACUUGUGAUGACUUUCAUCAACUUUUGUUCCACAAGUUACUUGACUUCAAAAUAUAAUGCGCGACUAUCAUACGACUAACCUAAAUAUUAACAUAACCUCCUUAUAAUAUUAAUCACCUUAGUCUCACCCCAAAAGUACAUGUUAUAACACUCCUAUCUUGUCGACUUUCGAUGAAACUUUGUUCUCUUCCAUUCCUUUAGCUUCUGAACAUUCCAACCUUCUUUGUACUUGUUUUUCAUGAUCUUCAAUAUUUUUAACCUCGAAGUAACAUGAAUAAACUACUUUAUAUAUUUUCAAAUAUUCUCUCAUUUUUAGUCUUGCAUUAGUUUUCUUAUGACAGACUUUUACGUAUUCAGAUAUAGGGUGUAACAUCAUUCCCCCUUUGGAACAUUCGUCUUCGAAUGUUUACUCUUGGAGACUUGGGGAAUUUUUGCUAGAGUCUCCUCUAUACACUAGGCUAAAACCAACAAGCACGCAGCCAGGAAACAUACUAUACAGGCCACACAUGGCCAAUGUCAUUAAAUAACAAUACUUUGCCUCACACAACCUUAAAUCAUAAAUACUGAAAGUAAAAAAUAAGAGCUUGAUAACCGACUAGCAUGAAUAGAGUUGUGAGUUAGCAUCAUAUCUUGAGCCAUAUCUUCAGGUUGAAAUAGGUGGGGGUAUUCAGACUUCAUUUCUUCCUCCGCUUCCCAAGUCAUCUCUUCCACAUUCUCGCUUCUCCAUAAAACCUACACAUAGGCUACCUCCUUAUUUUGUAGCAUAUGGAUUUGUCGGUCUAGGAUGACAAUUGGAAUUUACUCCUAUGACAAGUCUUCUGUAAUCUGUACAUCAUCUGUGGGCACCACUCGGGUAGGAUCGCCAAUGCACUUCCGCAACAUAGAUAUAUGAAAAACUGGAUGGACAGACUCCAACUCUGAGGGCAACUCUAACUCAUAUGCUACUUGGCCCACACUCUGAAUAAUCCUAUAAGGCCCAAUAUACUGUGGGCUAAGCUUUCCUUUCUUUUGAAACCUCAUUACGCUCUUCAUAUGUGAUACUUUUAAGAACACCCAAUCAUUAACCCCGAAAUCUAAGUCUCAUCGCCACAUGUAAGAAUAUGACUUCUGAUUACUCUAAGCUGUCAGCAGUUGCUCCCGGAUACGCUUUAUCUUCUCUAUGGCCUGUUGAACCAGGUCUAGACCAUGUAACCCAAAUUCUCCAAAAUCAAACAACCCUAUAGGAGAUCUGCACUUACGCCCAUACAAAGCCUUAUACGGAGCCAUAUGGAUAUUGGAGUGGUAACUAUUAUUAUAUGCAAACUCAAUAAGAGGUAGAUGUUCAUCCCAACCUGUUUUAAAAUCUAACACACAUGCUCGUAAUAUAUCAUUGAGCGUCUGAAUUAUGCGCUCGGCUUGUCCAUUAGUCUGUAGAUGAAAAGUUGUGCUGAGAUUCACCUGAGUCCCUAGACCUCUCUGAAAUGACCUCUAAAAACGUGUUGUAAACUAGUCCCUACGAUCAGAUAUAAUAACUAACGGUACUCUAUAUAAAUUCACUAUCUCCUUAAUAUAUAGCUUUGCAUGUUCUGUUCCAUAUGUAUAUCUGAGCGGUGGGAAAUGAGAUGAUUUCGUGAGCCUAUCGAUUAUCGCCCAUAUAGAAUCAAACUUACGAUGAGAAUAUGGUAAACCUAUGACAAAGUCCAUGUUUAUCGCCUCCCAUUUCCACGUCGGUAUCUCCAUAGUCUGCAUUUGCCCUCCGGGUUUCUGGUUCUCUACCUUCACCUGCUAGCAACUAGGACAAUGGGCGAAAAACACAGCAAUGUUCUUCUCCUUAUCACUGCGCCAAUGCACAUACUAAAUGUCAUGAUACAUCUUUCUCGACCUAGGGUGAAUCGGGUACCACGAGUAAUAUGCCUAUGAUAUAAUCUAGUCUCGUAGCCCUUCUACAUAUAGAACACACAGACGACCCCUAUAUCAGAUAACCCCAUCUCCCUUGAGCUCUAAAAACAACUCUUUUUGUUGUAGAACUUGCUAUCUCAACUCAACUAAUUCUGGGUCCUCGUACUACCUUUUCUUGCUUUAACUAUGAGAGAUGAUUUUUGCAGUGUUUUGGAGUACAACUCCACCACUAUCAGAAUCCGCCAAAUGAACCCCCAAACAAGACAAUUGAUGAAUCUUUCUAAUUAAUUACCUUUUCUCAGCCACUACAUGUGCUAAGCUACCCAUAGAUCGAUGACUUAAGGCAUCUGCUACAAUAUUAGCUUUCCCUGGAUAGUAGAAAAUUUUAACAUCAUAAUCUCUCAAUAACUCAAGACAUCGCCUUUGUCGGAAAUUUAACUCUUUUUUUUCGAAGAUAAAUUAUUUAUGAUCUAUAAAUACAUCAACUUGAACAUCAUACAAAUAAUGUCGCCAUAUCUUAAGUGCAUGGAACACCACAGCUAACUCGAGGUCGUGGGUUAGAUAAUUCCUCUUGUGCUUCCUCAAAUUCCAUGAAGCAUACGCAAUUACCUUCCAUGUUGCAUCAGGACACAUCCUAACCCGACACCUAAGGAAUCAUAAUACACUGCAUAACCCUCUUGACCCUUUUGAAAUGUUAGAACUAGUGCUGAGGUCAACCAAUUCUUAAGCUCCUGCAAACUCUACUCUUAAGCUCCGUCCAUUGAAACUUAGUUUCUUUCUGCAUCAACUUCAUCAAUGGUGCUGAAAUGAAAGAAAAACCCUCUACAAACCUUCGAUAGUAUCCUGAUAAGCCUAGGAAACUACGCACCUCUGUUGGAGUAGUAGGUCUGCGCAAAGAUUUCACAGCCUCAAUCUUCUGAGUGUCUACUUUAAUACCUUCAUCGGAGAAAAUAUGCCCCAAGAAUUCCACAGACUUGACCAGAACACACAUUUGGAAAACUUAGCAAACAACUUACGAUCAUGGAGGUUUUGGAGUAUUUCUUGCAGGUUGUCUUAAUGCUCAUCAAUAAAUACAAUCAUAAAUAGAUCCAAAAAUGGCUAUAAUAUGCUAUUCAUUAAGUCCACAAAAAUGUCUAUUGCAUUCGUCAACCCGAAGGACAUGACAAGGAACUCGAAGUGCCCAUAUCGGGUCCUUAAGGCUAUCUUUGAAAUAUAUUUCUCCUGAACUCUAACCUGGCGGUACCCUAACCUCAUAUCUAUCUUUAAGAAGCAUCUAGCCCCUUGCAGCUGAUCAAACAAGUCAUCGAUCCAUGGAAGUAGAUAAUAGUUACCUUGUUCAGCUGCCUAUAAUCGAUACACAUCCUCAACGAUACAUCUUUCUUUCGUACAAAAAGUACUGGUGCACCCCAUUGUUAGGUAGUGGACAUGAUGAACCCUUUCUCCAGCAAAUCUUUUAACUGCUCCUUCAACUCCUUCAAUUCAGUAGGCGCCAUUCUAUACGGAGGGAUGGAUAUUUGUUGAGUUUCCAAAAGUAAUUCGAUGCUAAAAUCAAUCUCUCACUCUGGAGGAAUACCUGGAAGCUCAUCUGGAAACAUAUCUGCAUACUCUUUUACUACGGGAAUGGACUGAAGUGAAGGUAUCUCAGCAUCUACAUCUCUAACUUGCACCAUAUGAUAAAUGCACCAUUUUGCAAUUAUUUUCCUUUCCUUCAAAUAGGAAAUAAACCUACCUCUAGGUGUCACUGUAUUACCUACCUAUUCAAGGACUGGCUCACCCAGUAAAUGAAAUCUUGUUAUCCUUGCUCGACAAUCAGCUGUAGCGUAGCAAGCUGCUAACAUAGCCAUGGCCAUGAUAACAUCAAAAUCCAACAUCUCUAUCUCAAUUAGGUAAGCUGAGGUCUGACGAUUACAAAUUGUCACUGUACAACCUCGGUAAAUCCGUCUAGGAAUAAUCAAUUCUCUUACCGGUAUAAAUACCGCAAAAAGAUCAAUUAGCAUUUCAAGCACUAUACCAAACUUCCCCAUGACAAAUAGGAUAAUAUAUGAUAAAGUAGAUCCUAGUUCUAUCUAGGCAUAGGCAUUCUGAGAGAAAAUGGUCAAUAUGGCUGGCACAAUGUCUGGUAAAGACUCUAGGCGACCGACUAAAGCGUGGAUAUGGUUCUAAUUACCAGUUGAAUUGGAACCUCUACCUCUGCCUUGCCCUUGACAAUCCGAAGAUUGAGACUCGAGCCCCGAGGGAUGCACGGACAUAGAUGAUCAUGUUGCUAAACUCGCCGGUUGUGCCAUUACACCAAAAUCUCUAUUUGGGCAAUCUCGCAUAAUAUGCCCUGCAAGACCACAUGUAUAAUAAGCAUCAGAACCUUCUCGUCAUUGGCCCAAGUGUCCUCUACCACAGAUGUCACAUUGCAGAGGAAAUUACCAUGUCUACCCUAAACUUCACUGUCACUGCAAACCUGACGCCAUUGAGCUCUCACCUAGUCCUUACUGAGUAAUGCGGUCAUGGCUAUAACCCUGUAACUGAGGUGGUGGAGUCUUAGGUGGCCGUCCGAAGUACUGGGGCCUAUAACUACCCUCAGAUUGCUCCUGAGACCUACCAAAUCUUAUUCUCUUACGCUACCCUUGCUUAGUCCUCUUUGUACCCUGCUGCAAACGCCUACUUUUUUCUAUAUUCUGGAUUAAUGCCUGAAUCCAGAAGAUAUCCAUACAGUCCUGCAAUGCAGCAGUGGAACAUGCCUCAGUCAACCCUGGGGCUAAAUCUGCAAUAAAUCGAGGAAUCCUGUCCCGCAGAGUAGUAACUAUGGAUGGUGUAUAUCUGGCCAAUGAGUCAAAACGGAGACUAUACUCACGGACACUCAUAUUUCCCUGCUUGAGGGCUACAAACUGAUCGACUCAAUCUUUCCGGGUCUCUUGCGGUAUGUACUGGUCCAGUAAGGCAUCUAAAAAACUCUCCCAGUUACCUGGAGGUGCAUCUCGUUUCUUGGAUCUCUCUUAUCCCUCGACGCAAAGGACGGCUAUAUCUCGGAGUCGAAAAGUUGCUAGCUCAACUACUUCAUUCUCUGUGGCAUGCAUAACCCCAAACUUGUAAAGCUGAUCUAUGAAAUCCUGCGGUCCUCCCUCUGAUCUGUCCCCGUGAACUCUAGGCGACUCAAAGUAAUAACUCUUGGACCGUUGAACUCCCAGACCCUUUAGAAGAUCCUGCACUAGUUGAUGCCUUAGCUUACUUCUGGGUAGCUACCAACUGUGUCAACAAAUGCAAUGCACUCUUCAAGUCAUGAUCUAAUGGAAGUUCAAGGGGAACUAGAUGUGUGGUCUCCCUAUGAAUCUCCUCAUGUGGUGGAGGAGCCGGUAAUGGUUGAUUAGGGGUCUCACCAUAGGCCUCAGACUAGGCCCCAUCUACUGGGGGUACCCUACUGGUCCCCUCACUAGCUACCGUAUCUCUUCUCUGGUUAGUUGUAACCGUCCUAGUCUCCGUCAUAUGUGCAUGAAAAUACCAAUACAUAAGUAUAACUCAAAUUUCCUAUAACUCAGUUCUAUAGCACGAUUUAGAUUUAAAAGAAAGGUAACCAACUCCAAAAUAUCAUGUAGUCUCCUGCUUAUAAAAUGUGGUGCACAACACAUCUCUAAACAAGGCUCUACUAGACACGGCUUGUAGACUCCCUAGAACCAAACUCAUUUGAUACCAAGUUUAUCAUGCCCCGAACCUGGGGGCGAGACCAGCACCUGGUGCCUCACCUAACAUUACGUACCAACUUACGAUCAAAUGACUGUUACCAUAUAAUGUCAUACAUUGGCCAUGGGGCCACAUUGCAAGACAAAUUGUGAAGCAAAAUAUAAAAUUGCCAGAAACUAAUGCAGACUAGACAUCAAUAUAAAGCUGGGCCGAUAAGCCCGUCAUAACUACUACAACUGACAAACAACCAAAAUAUACAUAUAAGGGCGACAAGCCCAUCAUACUAGACUAACCGAUAUGAUAUGUUACAAGUCUCUACUGAUGGAUGUAGUGUGAUCGAACAGGGCUUCGACUUACCCAUAACAUAUAUACAUAUAUACAUAUAUAAAUAAGAUGUACACAAAACUCUAGACCUGGCAACUUCGAAGGACGUAGACCUUGUCGAUCAGGCUAAACUUGGGCCACACCUACUAAGGAGGUCUACCUGUAUGUCUGAACGUGCAUGAAUGAAAUGCAGCACCCCUAGAAAAGGGACGUCGGUGCUAAAUAAUGUACCGAGUUUGUAGGGCAAUAAAAUAAUCGAAGGCUAAAACUAAACUGAUAACAUAAUAACUAAAGGUGUCAACGAUGAUCUAGAGAUAUACUUACCUACUGAUACUAACUGAACUCUCUCAAUAUAGUAAGUAAGAUAAAUGUCCGGCCCUAUAUGACUUGGAACGUGUAACUACUCUGCCUUAGUAGGCUCGAUCAUACGCGCUCGUCCAUACUAGGCUCUGUAUCUCAGCCAUUCUAGGCUCGCUCAUAGGUGCUCGGCCACAGUAGGCUUGGUAUAUAACUUACAAUCUGAUCCGAGGUUUCCCAAUAUAGGCCUGCCUAUCUAUAUAGCUCGAUGGUGGUGAAAAUACUAUAAUAAUAUAUAUAAAUUUAGGGGUAUGAACUUCUCAUUAUGCCUCGUCAUCAAUAUAUGUAGUUACGAGAUCAUGCCAAAAUGAAGGAAGGGAUUAGCCUUAACCUAUAUUAUCACAAUCUUUCCAAUUACCAAGUUUAAAUCACCUCUUUGCACCUUGAUCUACAACAACAUUAGUAAUAACAUCGUUACAUUGCGAAAGGUACAACUAUUGCACAAUGAACAACAAGCUUAUUUUGUACGAAACGGGAAGCAUCUCCCCUAUAAUCUUUACGUCGUCCAAAUUCAACAUAACAACAAAAACACAAGAACACAACAACAAAAACCUAUAAAUAUUAAUUUCCAGCCUUAUAUACACAAUAGAAUACCACCAAUAGCCCACAUACCGCAAUCUCUUCAUUCACAAAAAGACCACAGUAGUAGUGUCAAACGACCACGAAAUGUUACGGAAAAUGACCAGCCCCCACCCUAAAUCUAUAUGGUGCUUAUCCACACCCUUCAUCCUUCAAAAAUCCACAAAAUAGUAGUAAAAAAUGCAGCCCAACAGCAACACAAAACAUCCCACAAAAUAGUCUGUCACAAAUGAAUAACUCGAACUCACGGCUUCCAAUCACCGUCCCAUGAGUUCUUACAUGUAUAGAUUACUUACCAUGAAUUUACAGCAGAAAAAUAGAUGAAAUAAAGAAGUAAACGUACCUUGUUUUUUGGAUAACUCAACCCUUAUCUCUGUUCUUCAAACUCUAGCUUUUGCCCUAAAUUAGAACUUGAAAGGGAGAGAAAUUUAAUUAGGGUUUGUGGGUGAUUUUUUGGAACGUUUGCAUUGGCUUAGGUCUAUUUAUUUGUGAUAUAUACUGAAGUUUAUAUUUCAAGAGAUAUGCCCUUAAAUGAGCUCUUUGGCUGACCCCAAAUUUCCUCUUUUUGGGCUCUCAUUUAACCAAGUAGGUGACACACCUACUUGUCACCUAGCAGCCUGCGCAGUCAUCAAAAACGCAUAUACCUCUCUACUCCGAUGUCGUAUUGAUAAACAGUUUAAUGUGUUAGAAAAUGGGCUCAAAUAGUUUCAAUAUAAUGGGUGGAACAAACCAUAACUCUAAGUAUAUAAGGAGAAAAUUGCAGUCACAUUUGACCUAAAGUUUUAAUAAAACUUAUGAAUGUAACUAGUGAUGACUUUCAUCGACUUUUGUUCCACAACUCGCUAGAUUUCAAAACAUAACGCAUGAAUAUCAUGCAGCUAACCUAAUUAAUAACAUAACCUCCUAUCAUAUUAAGCACCCUAGUCUUGCCCCAACAAUACAUAUUAUUACACUCCCAUCUUACCGACUUUUGACGAAACAUUAUUUUCUUCCAUUUCUUUAGCUUUUGAACCUUCCAACCCUCUUUGUACUUGUUGUUCAUGAUCUUUUAUAUUUUUAACAUCGUAGGUAACAUGAUUAACUUAUUUUUAUAUAUUUUCAAAUAUUCUCUCAUUAUUAAUCAUGCAUUAGUUUGCAUAUGACAGACUUUUACGUAUGCAAAUAUAUAGGGUGUAACAUCAACAACGGUGCACAAUAAUUAUAUUGUGAAUAAUAGACUUUAAAUGCUACAAAACCAAAUCACAUGUCUAAAAUAAAUUCUGUAUUUUGAACUCAAUUGAGCUGAUGAUAUGAAGGUAGCAUUCUUAUUUGAUGCAAUCCCCAAAACUAACUUAUAAGCAAAUACAAUGAACUUUAUGCCUUAACAAAACUUCUUUCAUACAAGCAAUGAGCAAAAUCUUAUGAAAUAAGCAUGCCAACUAUGUUAAAUCCAGGAAUCACCAUUCUUUAGCAGAAUAACACAAUGGACCAAAUAUAACUAUCUUAUAUCACAUCCAUAACAUAAGAAAAACUAAUAGAAUCCCCAUAAAAUUAAAUAACUAUAAAACAUGAGUGAAAUGGAGAAACGGGGGAAAAAGGAUUCAGUAGCACGAAUUGUUUUCAACAUGUGUGCAUAUUAACAAUGCACAUUACGCUUCACAGGUUAAACAUGGUUCGAGAAAUUACCUGGAAUGCAAUAGAAAAAACAAAGAGAAACGGGGAGUUAGGAGCAACAUCAGAAUAAAAUCUGCAAACCAACAACAAACAAGCUCUUAAACUAGAAACAACCAAGCUUUAAACCAAUUUUAGACCUAUAAAUGAACCAGAAAUUCUUUGUAGAUUUUAGAUACUAUAACAAAACAAGACAUUGAACAAUAUAUUCACUAGUAAUUGAAAGGAUUUUAGCAUUUGAAAACUUAACCGUUUUUUUCUAAAAAAUUUAGUGUUUUCCCGUUCUCUAAUAUUUGACUUGAUUAGGAAGUGACAUCCUUUUAUAGAGAAGCUUUAUGGCAGCAGAAAAUGAACUUCAUAUUUUGCCUAUUAAUCCACUUUUAAUUAUCACUUUUGCUAGUUAGUUCUCAAAUUCAAAUUUUGUUUGUCAAAACAGUCCCAAACCCACAUUCCAAGAAAUUUCCUAAUUUAGUUACACCAGAUUCUCUAAACAAAAAUCCCUAGACUACCCUUAAAACCUGUGUUAUUUACCAUCAAGACUUGGAUAUGGGUCAAGUUUACCCAAUACCCAUCCCCAAUCUGAUUUGGAAACCUGGCCCGAUUUCCCUCCUUGGGCCUCUAUUGACAGAGCCCAAAUCAAAUCGAGAACCCAACAAAAUGAUUCAAGAAUAAGGGAAACUCGGAGUUAAAUAACCUCUUGGAACAAAAUAUUCCAAAUAAAACAAAAAAUAUGAGGGAAAUUUGAGAGAAAACUAAAACAGAAGAACAAAAUAUACCGGCAAGAAUUAACAGACAUGCAGAAAAGAUUUAAAUUAAAAGGGAAAGAAAAGGAGAAUAAUCAGAAGAAGAUCAAAAAUUACGAAUAAGAACGAAAAGAAAAUGAAAGAAGGAAAAUACUGAAAUACCCAAGCAAAGGCAGACAGAGGCUUUAACGAUUCUUGGAACCCUCGAUGUUGAGCCGAAAUUGGCCUAAAUUGUAUGUUCCUAUUGAGAACAUACGAAUAAAGCUAGUUUCGACUCUUAAUAUACUCGUAAUAACUUGAAAAAACUCGAAUGAUUUUUGACGUCUGGUUUUAUUUUUCAGAUCUAAGAUGGGUUCUGUUUGGUGAGGAUUCGAAAAUUUAUGGUGAUGGAUCGGGGAAGGAGAGGUUGUGAAGGUCUUGGGGUGCGAAUUUGGUGGUGGUUUGAGGUGGCGCCACCACCGGAGAGGGUAAGGAAUUUGGGGAGACGGAUUAGGGUUAGAGGUCAUCUGUAUGAGUCGAUAGGAAUGAAGAGAGAUAGAAUUUGAAGGAGGGGUGUGGCUUCGAUCGGACAGUUAUGGGAAAUUAGAGAUCAAUUCAUGGCCGUCUGAUCAAACAAAAUCAACGACUCCAACAAAAAGAGUUGCAAAGGGGGCC